UUGCAGUUUCGUUAAAUUGUAAGCUUCGUGUUAAUCCAGUUUCCAGAAACAGUCGAAGUAAUCUAGCUGAGAGGCGACAAAGUUGCACGCUGCCAGGUGCCUGAUUAUACACCCAACAAUCCAACAACAACAAUACCAAUAACAACUGGCGAAAGUGUUGCAAACAGCAAUUCAAAUCGAGGAAGAGGGAAAAAACGGAUGCCGGACGCCAUCUUGCAGUUGUGCGCAAACAUGGCGGCCAUUCGAAUGGCUGAGUGCCUGGGCAACGUUUGGCGCAACAAUCGCAGCAACUUUUAUUUAUUGCAUAACUAGAGGCGUUUAUGCGCUCAAAGUCUGCUGCCAGCAGAAAACAAACAACAACAGUCCUCCCAUCCCCCAACAUCCAAUCCCUCAUCCAAAAUCCUCUUCCGAUUUCUUUUUCCCGUUUACCCAGGCUGGUGGUAUAAUAAUUACAUUCGCUAUCAGCGUCGACAUUCACCAUGAAAAAGUGCCUUGCAGCGCCACCUGUUGGGCUCCCAACAGCAAAUCCCUCUUCCCUUUCGCCUAGAACUCGUAAAUAUGCAAAGCCAUAAAACGCAAGUGUCACACGGAUUAUUCAUGAAUGGAGCAUGCAAAUGAAGCUCCACUCGGACCUAAGGUGUGCAUAUAUAUAUGUUUGUAUAUGUACGUGUUUGUGGGUGCUGUGGAGUCUUAAGACUGCAAAGCAUUAGAAGAAAAUGUUGAAACAAGUUGAAAGCUAAAACUUUGCGAAUGCACAGAGUUGAAGUUAGCUUUGUACAUAGAAGAGAU